UUGGGUCAAAAAACACCAAAAUUGGGUCAAAAAACACCAAAAUGGGAGUGGGGACACCAAGGAGGGGUUGGGGACACCAAAACUGGGUCAAAAACCACCAAAUUUGGGUUGGGGACAUCAAAAUUGGGUUGGAAAAUGUCAAGAUUGGGUUGGGGAUGCCAAGGUUGGGUUGGGGACACCAAAUUUGGGUCAAAAAACACCAAAAUUGGGUUGGGGACACCAAAGUUGGGUUGAAAAAGGUCAAGAUUGGGUCGGGGACACCAAGGAGGAGUUGAGAGCAUCAAAUUUGGGUCAAAAUACACGAAAAUUGGGUUGGGGACACCAAGGUUGGGUUGGGAGACCAAAAUUGGGUUGGGAGACCAAAAUUGGGUUAAAAAUGUCAAGAUUGGGUUGGGGACACCAAAAUUGGGUUGAAAAAGGUCAAGAUUGGGUUGAAGACACCGAGGUUGGGUUGGGGACAUCAAGGUUGGGUUGGGAGACCAAAAUUGGGUUGGAAACCACUGAAAUUGGGUUGGAGACACCAAAGUUGGGUCAAAAAACACCAAAAUUGGGUCAAAAUACACCAAAAUUGGGUUAGGGACACCAAGGAGGGGCUGGGGACACCAAAAUUGGGUUGAAAAAUGUCAAGAUUGGGUUGAAGACACCGAGGUUGCGUUGGGGACACCACGGAGGAGUUGAGAACAUCAAAUUUGGGUCAAAAUACACCAAAAUUGGGUUGGGGACACCAAAAUUGGGUUGAAAAAGGUCAAGGUUGGGUUGGGGACACCAAAGUUGGGUUGAAAACCACCAAAUUUGGGUCAAAACCCACCAAAAUUGGGGUUGGGGACAUCAAGGUUGGGUUGGGGACACCAAAAUUGGGUUGAAAAAGGUCAAGAUUGGUGGGGGACAUCAAGGUUGCGUUGGGGACACCACGGAGGAAUUGAGAACAUCAAAUUUGGGUCAAAAUACACCAAAAUCGGGUUGGGGACAUCAAAAUUGGGUUGAAAAAGGUCAAGGUUGGGUUGGGGAGGCCAAGGUUGGUUUUGGGGGGUUUUGGGGCAUUUUUGGGACCUCGGGGGGGG